rnacentral:rRNA from 1 species
UGGGGAAUAUUGGACAAUGGGCGCAAGCCUGAUCCAGCCAUGCCGCGUGGGUGAAGAAGGCCCUAGGGUUGUAAAUCCCUUUCAGCGGGGAAGAUGAUGACGGUACCCGCAGAAGAAGCCCCGGCUAACUCCGUGCCAGCAGCCGCGGUAAUACGGAGGGGGCUAGCGUUGCUCGGAAUUACUGGGCGUAAAGGGCGCGUAGGCGGACCAUAUAGUCAGGCGUGAAAGCCCCGGGCUCAACCUGGGAACUGCGCUUGAUACUGAUGGUCUAGAGUCCGGGAGAGGGUAGUGGAAUUCCCAGUGUAGAGGUGAAAUUCGUAGAUAUUGGGAAGAACACCGGUGGCGAAGGCGGCUACCUGGACCGGUACUGACGCUGAGGCGCGAAAGCGUGGGGAGCAAACAGGAUUAGAUACCCCCGUAGUCC